AUGGCGACCGGCGCACGGGUGAGUAACGCGUAUCCAACCUGCCCUUUACUAUGGGACAGCCCGUCGAAAGGCGGAUUAAUACCGUAUGUUGUCAUGUUGAUGCAUAUUUUCAUGACCAAAGGCUUCGGCCGGUAAAGGAUGGGGAUGCGUCUGAUUAGCUUGCCGGCGGGGUAACGGCCCACCGGGGCGACGAUCAGUAGGGGUUCUGAGAGGAAGGUCCCCCACAUUGGAACUGAGACACGGACCAAACUCCUACGGAAGGCAGCAG
rnacentral:rRNA from 1 species